UAACGCGUGGGUAACCUGCCUCAUACAACGGGAUACCCGAGGGAAACUUCGGUUAAUACGGUAUAAGACCACACUACCGCAUGGUAGAGGGGUAAAAGGGGCAACCUGGUAUGAGAUGGACUCGCGUCGCAUUAGCUAGUUGGUGAGGUAACGGCCCACCAAGGCGACGAUGCGUAGCCGACCUGAGAGGGUGAUCGGCCACAUUGGGACUGAGAUACGGCCCAGACUCCUACGGGAGGCAGCAGUGGGGAAUAUUGGGCAAUGGAGGAAACUCUGACCCAGCAAUGCCGCGUGAAUGAAGAAGGUCUUCGGAUUGUAAAGUUCUUUAGUCAGGGAAGAAGUCAAUGACGGUACCUGAAGAAUAAGCUCCGGCUAACUACGUGCCAGCAGCCGCGGUAAUACGUAGGGAGCAAGCGUUGUUCGGAAUGACUGGGCGUAAAGGGUGCGUAGGCGGUUGUACAAGUUAGAAGUGAAAUACCCAGGGGCUUAACUCGGGUGCUGCUUCUAAAACUGUAUGACUUGAGUGCAGUAGAGGUUAGUGGAAUUCCUAGUGUAGCGGUGGAAAUGCGUAGAUAUUAGGAGGAACACCCAGAGGCGAAGGCGGCUAACUGGACUGCAACCUGACGCUGAGGCACGAAAGUGUGGGGAGCAAACAGGAUUAGAUACCCUGGUAGUU
rnacentral:rRNA from 1 species